AUUGAACGCUGGCGGCAGGCCUAACACAUGCAAGUCGAACGAGUGGCGGACGGGUGAGUAAUGUCUGGGAAACUGCCCGAUGGAGGGGGAUAACUACUGGAAACGGUAGCUAAUACCGCAUACCAUCGGAUGUGCCCCGAUGGGAUUAGCUAGUAGGUGGGGUAAUGGCUCACCUAGGUGACGAUGCCUAGCUGGUCUGAGAGAAUGACCAGCCACAAUGGAACUGCGACACGGUCCAGACUCCUACGGGCGGCAGCAGUGGGGAAUAUUGCACAAUGGGCGCAAGCCUGAUGCAGGCAUGCCGCGGGUAUGAAGAAGGCCUUCAGGUUGUAAAGGACUUUCAGCGAGGAGGCGUUACUCGCAGAAGAAGCACAGGCUAACUCCGUGCCAGCAGCCGCGGUAAUUC
rnacentral:rRNA from 1 species